GCUGAGCGUGGUGGUGCAUGCCUGUAGUCCUUGUUACUUGGGAGGCUGAGGUGGGAGGAUCACUUGAGCCUGGGAGUUCGAGGAUGCAGUGAGCCAAGAUCGUACCACUGCAUUCCAGUCUGGGCAACAGAGUGAGACCCAAUCUCAA
ensembl:misc_RNA Metazoa_SRP Metazoan signal recognition particle RNA